rnacentral:tRNA from 1 species
UAGAAAGUAAUAUAAAGGAAGUAUGGAGGGUUUUGAUUUCUCUAGUGCGGGUUCGAUUCCUGCCUUUCUAA